GGAAGGAUCAUUAACAAGCCGUGAAGGUCACCUCCCAAAAGGACGGUGAUCUCUCACCCGGCCACCCUUGUUUACCUUAACCUGUUGCUUUGGUGGGCCUGCCGCAGGGCCGCCGGGGGACAUUUUGUUCUCGGGCGAGUGCUCACCAAAGUCCUACUGAACUCUUUAGUUUUUAUGCAGUCUGAGCAUAUGAAAAUGAAUUUUAAAACUUUCAACAACGGAUCUCUUGGUUCUGGCAUCGAUGAAGAACGCAGCGAAAUGCGAUAAGUAAUGUGAAUUGCAGAAUUCCGUGAAUCAUCGAAUCUUUGAACGCAUAUUGCGCCCUCUGGUAUUCCGGGGGGCAUGCCUGUCCGAGCGUCAUUACAAUCUUCAAGCCCGGCUUGGCUGUUGAGCGUUCUGUUCUUCGCGGAACAGGGCUCGAAAUGCAGUGGCGAUGGCGAGACUGUGCCCGAGCGUAUGGGGCUUUGUCACACGCUCUGGUGGCUUCAGCUUGCAGUCUGCCAAACCUGCGUAUAUGCAUUAUAGAUGUAUAUACCAAUCCAAUCUGAUUGACCUCGGAUCAGGUAGGGAUACCCGCUGAACUUAAGCAUAUCAAUAAGCGGAGGAAAAGAAACCAACAGGGAUUGCCUCAGUAACGGCGAGUGAAGCGGCAAAAGCUCAAAUUUGAAAUCUGGCUUCCAGUUUUGGAGCCCGAGUUGUAAUUUGCAGAGGAUGCUUUGGGUGCGGCUGCGGUUUAAGUCCCCUGGAACGGGGCAUCAUAGAGGGUGAGAAUCCCGUCUGGGACCGCCAGCCCUGCCCGUGUAAAGCUCCUUCGACGAGUCGAGUUGUUUGGGAAUGCAGCUCUAAAUGGGUGGUAAAUUUCAUCUAAAGCUAAAUACCGGCCAGAGACCGAUAGCGCACAAGUAGAGUGAUCGAAAGAUGAAAAGCACUUUGAAAAGAGAGUUAAACAGCAUGUGAAAUUGUUGAAAGGGAA
rnacentral:misc_RNA from 1 species